rnacentral:rRNA from 1 species
AUUCCAGCUCCAAUAGCGUAUAUUAAAGUUGUUGCGGUUAAAAAGCUCGUAGUUGGAUUUCGGGGCGGCUUCGUCGGUCUGCCGAUGGGUAUGCACUGACGCGGGCGUCCUUCCUUCCGGAGACGCGUCCUACUCUUAGCUGAGCGGGGCGUGGAGACGGAUCGUUUACUUUGAAAAAAUUAGAGUGUUCAAAGCAGGCGUUUGCUUGAAUAUAUUAGCAUGGAAUAAUGGAAUAGGACGCUGGUUCUAUUUUGUUGGUUUUGAGAACCAGAGUAAUGAUUAAUAGGGACAGUUGGGGGCAUUCAUAUUUCAUUGUCAGAGGUGAAAUUCUUGGAUUUAUGAAAGAUGAACUUCUGCGAAAGCAUUUGCCAAGGAUGUUUUCAUUA